UUUAUCGACCACCUAAAUGUAAUAGGUCUUUUAUUUGUGAAUUUGCUGACUUUUUAGGUUCAGAGAACCAACUCAUCUUAAAGGCCAUACCUUGGAUUUGGUCCUCUCAUAUGCUCUGGAUAUUUGUACUAUGGACAUCGACAAUGCUGACACUGUGGCCCCUAUAAAGAUGAAACGUCCCAGAACUUCUCGUCAACCUUGGCUAAA